UUCUGUAGUAACCCUGCUUCUGGUGA
rnacentral:piRNA from 1 species